GGACCAUCCAGAGCGACCGAGAGACCUGGCUCUAUGACGUCGCAGCAACCCCCCGCUCGUCGGGUGAGGGUGCUACCGCCGGGACCGAUGGAGG
rnacentral:ncRNA from 2 species